AUUGAACGCUGGCGGCAGGCCUAACACAUGCAAGUCGAGCGGGGUUUUCGGACCUAGCGGCGGACGGGUGAGUAAUGCGUAGGAAGCUACCCGAUAGAGGGGGAUACCAGUUGGAAACGACUGUUAAUACCGCAUAAUGUCUACGGACCAAAGUGUGGGACCUUCGGGCCACAUGCUAUCGGAUGCGCCUACGUGGGAUUAGCUAGUUGGUGAGGUAAUGGCUCACCAAGGCGACGAUCUCUAGCUGGUUUGAGAGGAUGAUCAGCCACACUGGAACGGAGACACGGGCCAGACUCCUACGGGAGGCAGCAGUGGGGAAUAUUGGACAAUGGGCGCAAGCCUGAUCCAGCCAUGCCGCGUGUGUGAAGAAGGCCUUCGGGUUGUAAAGCACUUUCAGCGAGGAGGAAGAGUGGUGUGUUAAUAGCACAUCAUUUUGACGUUACUCGCAGAAGAAGCACCGGCUAACUCUGUGCCAGCCGCCGCCGUAAAAC
rnacentral:rRNA from 1 species